UACGUAGGGGGCUAGCGUUGUCCGGAAUCAUUGGGCGUAAAGCGCGUGUAGGCGGUCCGGUAAGUCUGCUGUGAAAGUCGGGGGCUCAACCCUCGGAAGCCGGUGGAUACUGCUGGGCUAGAGUGCGGAAGAGGCGAGUGGAAUUCCUGGUGUAGCAGUGAAAUGCGCAGAUAUCAGGAGGAACACCAAUUGCGAAGGCAGCUCGCUGGGACGUGACUGACGCUGAGACGCGAAAGCGUGGGGAGCAAACAGG
rnacentral:rRNA from 1 species